rnacentral:rRNA from 1 species
CGGAGGAAAAGAAACCAACAGGGAUUGCCUUAGUAGCGGCGAGUGAAGCGGCAAAAGCUCAAAUUUGAAAUCUGGCACUUUCAGUGUCCGAGUUGUAAUUUGAAGAAGGUAUCUUUGGGUCUGGCUCUUGUCUAUGUUUCUUGGAACAGAACGUCACAGAGGGUGAGAAUCCCGUGCGAUGAGAUGUCCCAGACCUAUGUAAAGUUCCUUCGAAGAGUCGAGUUGUUUGGGAAUGCAGCUCUAAGUGGGUGGUAAAUUCCAUCUAAAGCUAAAUAUUGGCGAGAGACCGAUAGCGAACAAGUACAGUGAUGGAAAGAUGAAAAGAACUUUGAAAAGAGAGUGAAAAAGUACGUGAAAUUGUUGAAAGGGAAGGGCUUGAGAUCAGACUUGGUAUUUUGUAUGUUACUCUCUCGGGGGUGGCCUCUACAGUUUACCGGGCCAGCAUCAGUUUGAGCGGUAGGAUAAGUGCAAAGAAAUGUGGCACUGCUUCGGUAGUGUGUUAUAGUCUUUGUCGAUACUGCCAGCUUAGACUGAGGACUGCGGCUUCGGCCUAGGAUGUUGGCAUAAUGAUCUUAAGUCGCCCGUCUUGAACCACGGACCA